UACGGAGGGGGCGAGCGUUGUCCGAAGUUACUGGGCGUAAAGGCUCGUAGGCGGCCAACUAAGUCGGAUGUGAAAUCCCCAGGCUUAACCUGGGAACUGCAUCCGAUACUGGAUGGCUUGAAUCCGGGAGAGGAUGGCGGAAUUCCAGGUGUAGCGGUGAAAUGCGUAGAUAUCUGGAGGAACACCGGUGGCGAAGGCGGGUCUCUGGGCCGAUGACUGACGCUGAGGAGCGAAAGACGUGGGGAGCGAACAGG
rnacentral:rRNA from 1 species